rnacentral:rRNA from 1 species
AUGGGGCGCAGCAGGCGAGAAAACUUUGCAAUGUGCGAAAGCACGACAAGGUUAAUCCGAGUGAUUUCUGCUAAAGAAAUCUUUUGCCAGUCGUAAAACCGCUGGUGAAUAAGGGGUGGGCAAGUUCUGGUGUCAGCCGCCGCGGUAAAACCAGCACCUCAAGUGGUCAGGAUGAUUAUUGGGCCUAAAGCAUCCGUAGCCGGCUUUGUAAGUUUUCGGUUAAAUCCAUGUGCUCAACGCAUGGGCUGCCGAAAAUACUGCAUAGCUAGGGAGUGGGAGAGGUAGACGGUACUCAGUAGGUAGGGGUAAAAUCCUUUGAUCUAUUGAUGACCACCUGUGGCGAAGGCGGUCUACCAGAACACGUUCGACGGUGAGGGAUGAAAGCUGGGGGAGCAAACCGGAUUAGAUACCCGGGUAGUCCCAGCUGUAAACGAUGCAGACUAGAUGAUGCAUUGGCAUAAUAGCCAUUGCAGUGUCUCAGGGAAGCCGUUAAGUCUGCCGCCUGGGAAGUACGUACGCAAGUAUGAAACUUAAAGGAAUUGGCGGGGGAGCACCACAAGGGGUGAAGCCUGCGGUUCAAUUGGAGUCAACGCCAGAAAUCUUACCCGGAGAGACAGCAGAAUGAAGGUCAAGCUGAAGACUUUACCAGACAAGCUGAGAGGUGGUGCAUGGCCGUCGCCAGCUCGUGCCGUGAGAUGUCCUGUUAAGUCAGGUAACGAGCGAGAUCCCUGCCGCUAGUUGCUAUCAUUAUUCUCAGGAAUAGUGGAGCGAAUUAGCGGGACUGCCGUUGUUAAAACGGAGGAAGGAAGGGGCUACGGCAGGUCAGUAUGCCCCGAAACUCUGGGGUCACACGCGGGCUGCAAUGGUAGUGACAAUGAGUUCCAAA